rnacentral:rRNA from 1 species
UACGUAGGGGGGCUAGCGUUGUCCGGAAUCAUUGGGCGUAAAGAGCGCGUAGGCGGCUAGAUAAGUCCGGUGUGAAAGUCACAGGCUCAACCUGUGAAUGCCGCUGGAAACUGUCUGGCUAGAGUCCGGAAGGGGCGAGUGGAAUUCCUGGUGUAGCGGUGAAAUGCGCAGAUAUCAGGAGGAACACCAAUGGCGAAGGCAGCUCGCUGGGACGGUACUGACGCUGAGGCGCGAAAGCGUGGGGAGCAAACAGG